UACGGAGGGGGCUAGCGUUAUUCGGAAUUACUGGGCGUAAAGCGCACGUAGGCGGAUUGGAAAGUUGGAGGUGAAAUCCCAGGGCUCAACCUUGGAACUGCCUUCAAACCUCCCAGUCUUGAGGUCGAGAGAGGUAAGUGGAAUUCCGAGUGUAGAGGUGAAAUUCGUAGAUAUGCGGAGGAACACCAGUGGCGAAGGCGGCUUACUGGUCCGGUACUGACGCUGAGGUGCGAAAGCGUGGGGAGCAAACAGG
rnacentral:rRNA from 1 species